UUUGUUUACAUUCCCCCCGAGGCUGCACGUGUCCUUCUCAUCAUAAUGGAUAAACUCACUUAUUCGUCAAAAGAAGAGCAGAAUUUGUUGCUGGAGUUAUAUGAAGACAUCCUGGGAGGCAAAAAGUUUGAGUUUUCGAGGAAGGGAAUACUGAGGAAGGCGAGGGCUUGGCAAUGUAUCGCAACAGAAUAUAAUGCUGCUGGACUUGGCCCCCAGAAGAACGUUGCCCAGCUCAAGAGGAUGUGGCAGCAUAUGAAAACAAGGCGAGUUAUUUAUGUCUGAUGUGUUGAGGUGAACUACAACAUUAGUGAAGAUAACUCGCCUUGUUUUCAUAUGAUUUCCUCUCUGGUAAGAUAGACUUACCAAUAAGACUUACCAAUAAAAUCCACGGGAUUUACAUAUGAUCUACAUAGAUCCUGUUGCCCGCCUCCAUAUUCAUCUGUGUUUUGUGUUUGUCAUAUUUGUUUUUGAAUGAUGUUGUGGAUGUAGCAUUUACUACAUGUUCUGGUAGUGAGUUCCAUGUAUUUAUAACUGUUUUUUUUUAUUUUUUUUUUUUUUUCCUUUCAAAUCAUAUAUAUUAAUUCACACAAGCUGUACAGGUGUAUGUGUCUCCACACAGAACCAACAAAUGUUAAGCCAUAAACGAUUUCAAGGAGGCUGGCCAUGUGUGUGCACGUGACACGUUGAAACUUGUCCUUUCCGUCACAGUACUUUACCCAGGCCGCUACCACUGCAAGCAUUCGGCUGCUGCAGCGCCUGCCAUGAAGCAGCCAAGUGCAGGUCCAGUGUGAGUCCAAUCGUGUCAGGUGAAGCACCAAAACCAAACCAAUCUCCAUCACGGUCACUUUGUUCCACACAUGAUACUUAAUAGGUUUCCAGUAUGGCUUCCUUGUAGCGUCCUACGUUCGGUCUGUGAGCGAACAAAUUUAUUGUGUUGAAGUGUGUAACGGACCGAAGUUCAGAGACGCGUUGCCAUGCACAAAACAAACGGUAACACACACACACACACACACACAGGGGCCGCACGGGGUCACCUUAGAGAGUUAAGCUUCGUCAGGUGUGUGUAAAGGUGCACCGGGUAGUGUCCUGCCGGCCUCACCGCGCCUCCAGGGCCUGCAAGCGGCGGGACAUGUAAGCAAGGUGAGUUAUUUUCGGUAAUGUUAUAGUUCACCUCAACACAUCAGAUAUAAAUAACUCGCCUUGUUUUCAUAUGAUUUCCUCUCUGGUAAGAUAUGAAAACAAGGCGAGUUAGUUAUAUCUGAUGUGUUGAGGUGAACUACAACAUUAGUGAAGAUAACUCGCCUUGUUUUCAUAUGAUUUCCUCUCUGGUAAGAUAUGAUAACAAGGCGAGUUAUUUAUGUCUGAUGUGUUGAGGUGAACUACAACAUUAGGGAAGAUAACUCGCCUUGUUUUCAUAUGAUUUCCUCUCUGGUAAGAUAUGAAAACAAGGCGAGUUAGUAUUUGAGAAAUUACACGAAGUACAGCCAGGUGGAGGCAUUAACACCCACCGAGCCACGUCUGGAAUCCCACUUCAUGAACCGCGGUACUCUUCAAAUGUUGGAUUGCGCGCUUUCAGUUCUGCCGCCCCAAGACUGUACAGUAAGCUCCCUCCUGACAAUAGAAGAACAAAGGAUAUCUCCAUAUUUAAGAAAGAACUAAAAACAUUUAUUCUGUGACUGCUGUGACAUGGAAACAUUGACAAUUAAAUGGCAUAUAAGUUGUUAUCAAUAUUGGAAAUUUAAUGAAUGAAAUAUGUGGGUCCUGUAGAGCGCUUCAGCGGAAGUUUGACCAGAUAAAUAAGAAACACAAGCAACAAGUAAGUAAGUCGUUAUGUCUGAUGUGUUGAGCUUAACUACAACAUUAGCGAAAAUAACUCGCCUUGUUUUCAUAUGAUUUCCUCUCUGGUAAGAUAUGAUAACAAGGCGAGUUAUUUUCGCUAAUGUUGUACUUCACCUCAACACAUAAGAUAUUAGGAACCUCUACGGUAUACUGAGGAGACGUGUUAUUAGUGUCCAGGGUUGGUUCGACCUAGUACCUCCGUGGAUCAUGUUUCUUAAUGGUCCCUCCAAGCGAGAAAAAUGAGAAAAAAUCACCCCUCACACAAACCAUUUCAUAAUAUAUAUCAAAGCAUUUGUGAUCGGUUUAUGCAUCAUCUAUUUUUGGGGGUUUAUAUCAUGGCACAAAUUUGGCCCGUCGCUGCUACACGGUAAAGCCACAAAUUUGGCCCGUCGCUGCUACAUGGUGAAGCCACAAAUUUGUCCCGUCGCUGCUACAUGGUGAAGCCACAAAUUUGGCCCGUCGCUGCUACACGGUAAAGCCACAAAUUUGGCCCGUCGCUGCUACACGGUAAAGCCACAAAUUUGGCCCGUCGCUGCUACACGGUAAAGCCACAAAUUUGGCCCGUCGCUGCUACACGGUUAAUUUAAAUCGCUUUCAAUGAGUAAAAAAAUCAUGUCAAAUCAAAAUUAAAUAUACAGAUUUAAAAUGAUUUGUGUUAUAUUGAGUAAAAUAUCGAAAUAAAGCCUGCUCGACAAGGCAUGUAAGGGGCGUUCUCUAACCAAAUUAGACAUAUUAUUAGUGGCCAGGGUUGGUUUAAUUUAAAACAUAUUAUUUAAAUCACUUAAUACAGAUUUAAAAUGAUUUGUUUACUGUUUACCGUUGAUGAGGUGUCAGGCUCCGGUCCAUGGCAGCGCUCCACUGGGCCGCUAACAUCAAAACAGUAAUAUUAGCACCUCAAGUUGUCCUCAAUUCUCAUAUCUGUGACGUCGUAGAAUUUAGCGAAUAAGUGAGUCUUCAGUAGCGUUGCCAAAUUAUCGUACUCAUCGCAUUGCAUUGUCGUAGUUUCUGACCAAUAACUAUAGUAAAAAACACAAAAAGCAUGAAUAAAUAACAGUUUUAACGCUAACUUUAAUAUUCUACCGUUGUUUGUGUGGUUGCGGCAGUCUUUGAGCCUAAAAAUGAUAAAUGCAAUGUUCAGAGUACGACAAUUUGGCAACGCUGGUCUUCAGUGCUUUCUUGAAGAUUACCAGACUGACACCAUUCUUAACAUCCCCGGGUAACUCAUUAUAGAGCCACAGGGCACUCUUCUCAAAUGUGUUAUAUCAAGUAAAAUAUCUAAUUAAAGCCUGCUCGACAUGGCUUGUAAGGGGUGUUCUAUAACCAAAUUAUGUGGAGUUGGGUUAUAUUGGGCAGCCGAGGUGUGUUAAGUUUAAUAGGAAUUGGUUUGGUAACGUUAGGUCAGGUUAGAUUAGUUAGGUUGAGUUUAUGUAGGUAUGGUUUGGUAAUGUUAAGUGAGGCUAGGUUAGAUUAGCUUCCUUAGGUUAGGUGUUAAGUUAGAUAUGAAUUGGUUUGGUAAUGUUAAGUGAGGUUAGGUUAGAUUAGGUUAGGUGUUAAGUUAGAUAUGAAUUGGUUUGGUAAAGUUAAGUGAGGUUAGGUUAGAUUAGGUUAGGUGUUAAGUUAGAUAUGAAUUGGUUUGGUAAUGUUAAGUGAGGUUAGGUUAGGUUAGGUGUUAAGUUAGAUAUGAAUUGGUUUGGUAAAGUUAAGUGAGGUUAGGUUAGAUUAGGUUAGGUGUUAAGUUAGAUAUGAAUUGGUUUGGUAAUGUUAAGUGAGGUUAGGUUAGAUUAGCUUCCUUAGGUUAGGUGUUAAGUUAGAUAUGAAUUGGUUUGGUAAUGUUAAGUGAGGUUAGGUUAGAUUAGGUUAGGUGUUAAGUUAGAUAUGAAUUGGUUUGGUAAAGUUAAGUGAGGUUAGGUUAGGUUAGGUUAG